GUGGGGAAUCUUGCGCAAUGGGCGAAAGCCUGACGCAGCCAUGCCGCGUGAAUGAUGAAGGUCUUAGGAUUGUAAAAUUCUUUCACCGGGGACGAUAAUGACGGUACCCGGAGAAGAAGCUCCGGCUAACUUCGUGCCAGCAGCCGCGGUAAUACGAAGGGGGCUAGCGUUGCUCGGAAUUACUGGGCGUAAAGGGCGCGUAGGCGGACAGCUUAGUCAGAGGUGAAAGCCCAGGGCUCAACCUUGGAAUUGCCUUUGAUACUGGCUGUCUUGAGUUUGGGAGAGGUGAGUGGAACUCCGAGUGUAGAGGUGAAAUUCGUAGAUAUUCGGAAGAACACCAGUGGCGAAGGCGACUCACUGGCCCAAUACUGACGCUGAGGCGCGAAAGCGUGGGGAGCAAACAGGAUUAUAUACCCGGGUAGUCC
rnacentral:rRNA from 1 species